rnacentral:rRNA from 1 species
AUUGAACGCUGGCGGCAGGCUUAACACAUGCAAGUCGAGCGGUAGCACAAGAGAGCUUGCUCUCUGGGUGACGAGCGGCGGACGGGUGAGUAAUGUCUGGGAAACUGCCUGAUGGAGGGGGAUAACUACUGGAAACGGUAGCUAAUACCGCAUAACGUCGCAAGACCAAAGAGGGGGACCUUCGGGCCUCUUGCCAUUAGAUGUGCCCCGAUGGGGUUAGCUAGUAGGUGGGGUAAUGGCUCACCCAGGCGACGAUCCCUAGCUGGUCUGAGAGGAUGACCAGCCACACUGGAACUGAGACACGGUCCAGACUCCUACGGGAGGCAGCAGUGGGGAAUAUUGCACAAUGGGCGCAAGCCUGAUGCAGCCAUGCCGCGUGUGUGAAGAAGGCCUUCGGGUUGUAAAGCACUUUCAGCGAGGAGGAAGGUGGUGAACUUAAUACGUUCAUCAAUUGACGUUACUCGCAGAAGAAGCACCGGCUAACUCCGUG